GGAGGAGGGACCGACGGAGCGCGGAUCCCGCUCUCGGAUCGCAAACUUCGAGCCAGAGCUCUCCGCGCGCUCCUGAACCGCUGGCCGCCCCCACAGCCCGACGCGGAAUCGGGGCACAGCGGGAGCCCGUACAGGGCGGGCGCGGGACGGCGGGGCGGCGGGGCGGCGGGGCGGCGGGGCGGCGGGGCGGCGGCGGCCGUCCAUGCGGCGGCGCUCUGGGCUGCCCGGCGCCGGGAACCACACGGGGGCGAGGCGAGGCGAGGCGGCCGCCGGUCGCUCCGGGACGCGGACCGCCAGGACUUGAACGCCACUCCCAAUUGCAGAAAAUUGGCAGCGUCUCUGAAGAGCCCUUGCUUUUGCCUGAACCCUCAGCAUCAUGGUUUCCCAUUUCAUGGGGUCUCUCAGUGUCCUGGGUUCCCUCCUGCUGCUUGGAUUCCAGUUCGUGUGCCCACAGUCCUCCACUCAACACAGGAAGGUCCCGCAGCGGAUGGCGGCGGAGGGCGCCCCCGAGGAUAGCGGCGGGGCGGCGCCCGGAGUGUGGGGCGCCUUGGGGCCCUGGUCGCCUGUUCGCGUAGCUGCAGCGCGGCGGCGUGAUGGAGCAGACGCGCCGCUGCCCGCUCUACGCCCUGCGCGGCGGCCAGCGCCCUGGCACCCCAC
rnacentral:lncRNA from 10 species